rnacentral:RNase_P_RNA from 1 species
GGAGCUGGCCGGGCAGUCGCUGCGUCGUAGGGCGUGGAGGAAAGUCCGGGCUCCACAGGGCGGGAUGCCAGGUAAUGCCUGGGCGGCGUGAGCCGACGGAAAGUGCCACAGAAAAGAUACCGCCGAAGUCGCGCCAUGCGGCUGGUAAGGGUGAAAUGGUGCGGUAAGAGCGCACCGCGCCGGUGGUAACACCGGUGGCAGGGUAAACCCCAUCCGGAGCAAGACCAAAUAGGGGGACGUCAAGCGUGGCCCACGCGUGUCCCCGGGUAGGUCGCUUGAGGUGUAUGGUGACAUGCAUCCCAGAUGAAUGACUGUCCAUGACAGAACCCGGCUUACAGGCCGGCUCCCUCU